rnacentral:rRNA from 1 species
UAUAAUGCAAGUCGAACGAUACCAGGAAGCUUGCUUUCUGGGAAAGUGGCGCACGGGUGCGUAACGCGUAUGCAACCUACCUUUAUCAGGGGGAUAGCCUCUCGAAAGAGAGAUUAACACCGCAUAAAAUCACAAGCUGGCAUCAGCAAAUGAUCAAAUAUUUAUAGGAUAAAGAUGGGCAUGCGUGACAUUAGCUAGUUGGUAAGGUAAUGGCUUACCAAGGCUACGAUGUCUAGGGGAUCUGAGAGGAUGACCCCCCACACUGGUACUGAGACACGGACCAGACUCCUACGGGAGGCAGCAGUAAGGAAUAUUGGUCAAUGGGGGCAACCCUGAACCAGCCAUGCCGCGUGCAGGAAGACGGCCCUCUGGGUUGUAAACUGCUUUUAUCCGGGAAUAAACCCUUUUACGUGUAAGAGGCUGAAUGUACCGGAAGAAUAAGGAUCGGCUAACUCCGUGCCAGCAGCCGCGGUAAUACGGAGGAUCCAAGCGUUAUCCGGAUUUAUUGGGUUUAAAGGGUGCGUAGGCGGCCCGUUAAGUCAGGGGUGAAAAGACGGUGGCUCACCCAUCGCAGUGCCUUUUGAUACUGACGGGCUUGAAUACACUUGAAGUAGGCGGAAUGUGACAAGUAGCGGUGAAAUGCAUAGAUAU